rfam:Arabidopsis thaliana chromosome 3, complete sequence.
GGAUGCGAUCAUACCAGCACUAAUGCACUAGAUCCCAUCAGAACUCUGUAGUUAAGCGUGCUUGGGGGAGAGUAGUACUAGGAUGGGUGACCUCCUGGAAAGUUCUCGUGUUGCAUCCC